CUAUAUACUAAAACCCAAACAGAAAAACACUGUUCAUUAACAGUGAUGUGACGAAAUUGACCCUGCUUGGUCUGUUUAAUUUCAAUUGCACCAUGUUUUACACGUGUUUGUCAUCAGUGAAAUGGAAGCAGGCUGAAAAAUCUGGGGUGUUCCACCUGCUUCCUUGCUCUUCUGUUCCUCUUCUGGACUCUUCUUUCCCAUCGACUUCUCUGUCACUAUCUCGCAACCAGCUACAACACUGAUUCCCCCUCCAUUUCUCCCGCUUAGCAAAAGAAAAUCAAAGGGGUUCACCUGCGCUUCUCUCUCUCUCUCUCUCUCUCCCUCCUCCAGUGAAGCACCUCCAUACAUAGGGUUUUUGGAUAAUUUCAUGAUUUAGCGAUCCGCGCAUUUUCCAUAACCCUCUUUACGGAAGUGGAGGAACCCAUCUAUAGGGUGAAGUGGUAGGUCUAAAAAUGGAUAUCAUCCAGUGGAAGGACCCAAAUGAGGUGGUUUAUUUUUAGACAAGAUGAGAAGAUGUAAACAGUUGGAGGUAGGUCCAUACCAUUUUCCAAGUUCUUUAUUAAUGUGAAUGUUUAUGUUAACCUGAUUAGGAACUUAAGUGAAUAAAUCGUUUUCGAAUUUGUAAACAAAUAAUUGCUUACAAAAUAAUGAACUCUGUUAAACAAAAAUAAUUGCCUACAUUAGAGAAUAAACAUUAUUGAAGUAUAUUUUAAAAUAUUUUUAAUUUAUAUAAAUAGAUAGGUUGCUAUUGCAUUCUGUGCCUAAAUCAAAUCACUAACUUGAAUCAUGCUCUUUAUUUGGGAACUGUUGUGUAUUUCUUAUUUGAAUUAGUAGGGUUUGCAUGUUUCUUUUUCAAAUUUGAUUUUGUGUGAUUUCAUUUUGAUAGAUAUUUCAGAAUUUCCGAAAGCAGGUGCGGUUUGAUCAAUUAAGGCCAACCUGAUUUACAGAGGUCUGAUUAGAGAGGUACACUACUAAUUACCUCACUUUUCUCCCAAGAGUAUGCUGCUUUUUCCAAAAGGAAAAGAUUAGCUUGGUUUGAUCUCUUAUUUGAAUUGUGUAUAUUUGGUUUGAUCUCUUAAUUUGUGUUGUGCUAAUUUUGUAUGAAUUAAUUUGGGUUGGACAGAGGAAGCAAAUAAUUUUUUUAAUUAAUAAAUUUAGUUUGGUUUGAUCUCU